UGCAUAUGGCAACAAUUUAAUAGGAACUGUAAUAUAUUCCUUGAAAACGCUAUAUUUGAAAAUCGUUUGAGGUUGAUAUUACAUUAUGGCGCAAUUUUGAUUUUAGUUACGUGGUUGAUUUGGCACCAGAGGAGCACAGUUUGUAUAAUAUAUACUUUUUCUUCGAUCAAUAGAUUUUGGAUACAUGCACAACCAGGACGAAUACGUUCAGCAAGGGACAUAUGCUGGCAUCUUAAAGAGACAGUUGCUGUUGGUGGCUACGCAUUACGCAAAUCAACCAGGCAGAUGCUACGACUCGUUACCGUUCAGGCACAUGGACCGUGCGAUUUGGAAAGCAAGAUCAAAAUUAUUUAAACGCGUCAAACUAACACAAGGAAGUACACCAUAAAUAACUUUUAUUACCGCUCGCCGCACGUUUUCUGUUAUUACUUUCUGUAUGGUUUUACGUUGUCGGGAAGAUGAGAAUUUUGUCAAGACCGAAGAUAGCAAAAUCAGUAAAAUUAUAUACUAUAAUAUAAAAAAGUGUAGUAUGACCAAAUAGUAAUCAUCAUUCACAGUAUCUCAACAGUGCGUCGGCGGUUGAUAUUAUUAGACAUUAUAGCAAAUUAAUUACCUAAUUUACUGGCAAAUCUGGUUAAGUAACGCAACUAUUGUUUUUUGUUUUCAUAUAAAAGACACGCUUUUUGAAUUUAUGUGGAUAUUUUUCUAAUUUGGUUAAAUUUUAAAAUAUAUUUUUUUAAUUUUUUAAUUUUUUUAAAAUAAUUUUAAAAUAUUAUUGUCCGACUCAAAUUUUUGCAAUAUUUUUUCAGUUUUAAAUUAUUUUUAACCGAAAAUUUGAAAAUCAUCACGUCACUGUUUUCGACGUAAAUAAAAAGUCCCGCUGCUUUACAGCAUCCAAAGUAAUCUUUAUUUUCUAAUGAAUUAUUGACCGGACAGUUUAACUACAUCACACAGAUUUUUUUUUUAUGAUUUUGAGAUAUCAUCACAGAUUACAUUACAAUUUACAUUUGAUACUUCUAAGUUAUAUGUCUCUUGGUAAUAUAUGCCUUCUUCAGAACAUAAAUUAUUGCUGCCCAAAGACGAAAGAGUGCAACAUGCUGGCUAUUGACCUACUCGGAGAAAAGAAAGCAUAGGAGGCCAAAUUGGCUAAAACCAUUUCCCGCGCAGCCUUGCGGAAUCGCUUCCUCCACUCCCGUCGGCAAGUGACGAAUUGUAGACGAUCACUUUAUGGGAUAAUAUACAAACACCGAUAUGU